UACGUAGGGGGCAAGCGUUGUUCGGAAUUACUGGGCGUAAAGGGCGCGUAGGCGGCACAGCAAGUCGGGAGUGAAAGCCCGGGGCUCAACCCCGGAACUGCUUUCGAAACUGCUGAGCUAGAGUACAGAAGGGGCAACCGGAAUUCCCAGUGUAGCGGUGAAAUGCGUAGAUAUUGGGAAGAACACCUGAGACGAAGGCGGGUUGCUGGGCUGAUACUGACGCUGAGGCGCGAAAGCCAGGGGAGCAAACGGG
rnacentral:rRNA from 1 species